UGCGUAGGCGGGCUAAUAAGUCAGUGGUGAAAUCUUCCGGCUCAACCGGGAACCUGCCAUUGAUACUGUUAGUCUUGAGUUCGGUUGAGGUAGGCGGAAUGUGUAAUGUAGCGGUGAAAUGCUUAGAUAUUACACAGAACACCAAUUGCGUAGGCAGCUUACUAGACCGACACUGACGCUGAGGCACGAAAGCGUUGGGGAGCGAACAGGAUUAGAUACCCUGGUAGUCC
rnacentral:rRNA from 1 species